rnacentral:rRNA from 1 species
ACGGGUGCGUAACGCGUGGGAAUCUGCCCUUGGGUUCGGAAUAACAGUGAGAAAUUACUGCUAAUACCGAAUGAUGACUUAAGUCCAAAGAUUUAUCGCCCAGGGAUGAGCCCGCGUAGGAUUAGCUAGUUGGUGAGGUAAAAGCUCACCAAGGCGACGAUCCUUAGCUGGUCUGAGAGGAUGAUCAGCCACACUGGGACUGAGACACGGCCCAGACUCCUACGGGAGGCAGCAGUGGGGAAUAUUGGACAAUGGGCGAAAGCCUGAUCCAGCAAUGCCGCGUGAGUGAUGAAGGCCUUAGGGUUGUAAAGCUCUUUUACCCGGGAUGAUAAUGACAGUACCGGGAGAAUAAGCUCCGGCUAACUCCGUGCCAGCAGCCGCGGUAAUACGGAGGGAGCUAGCGUUAUUCGGAAUUACUGGGCGUAAAGCGCACGUAGGCGGCUUUGUAAGUUAGAGGUGAAAGCCUGGAGCUCAACUCCAGAACUGCCUUUAAGACUGCAUCGCUUGAAUCCAGGAGAGGUGAGUGGAAUUCCGAGUGUAGAGGUGAAAUUCGUAUA